rnacentral:rRNA from 1 species
ACUCCUACGGGAGGCAGCAGUGGGGAAUAUUGCACAAUGGGCGCAAGCCUGAUGCAGCCAUGCCGCGUGUAUGAAGAAGGCCUUCGGGUUGUAAAGUACUUUCAGCAGUGAGGAAGGUUCAUGCGUUAAUAGCGUAUGGAUUUGACGUUAGCUGCAGAAGAAGCACCGGCUAACUCCGUGCCAGCAGCCGCGGUAAUACGGAGGGUGCGAGCGUUAAUCGGAAUUACUGGGCGUAAAGCGCAUGCAGGCGGCCUGUUAAGUCAGAUGUGAAAGCCCGGGGCUUAACCUCGGAAUUGCAUUUGAAACUGGCAGGCUAGAGUCUUGUAGAGGGGGGUAGAAUUUCAGGUGUAGCGGUGAAAUGCGUAGAGAUCUGAAGGAAUACCAGUGGCGAAGGCGGCCCCCUGGACAAAGACUGACGCUCAGAUGCGAAAGCGUGGGGAGCAAACAGGAUUAGAUACCCUGGUAGGAUAGCG